rnacentral:rRNA from 1 species
UACGUAGGGGGCUAGCGUUGUCCGGAUUUAUUGGGCGUAAAGAGCGUGUAGGCGGCCAGAUAGGUCUGCUGUGAAAACUCGAGGCUCAACCUCGAGAUGUCGGCGGAAACCAUUUGGCUAGAGUCCGGAAGAGGAAAGUGGGAAUUCCUGGUGUAGCGGUGAAAUGCGCAGAUAUCAGGAAGAACACCCGUGGCGAAGGCGGCUCUCUGGGACGGUACUGACGCUGAGACGCGAAAGCGUGGGGAGCGAACAGG